ensembl:snRNA U6 U6 spliceosomal RNA
AUGCCCACUUCAGCAGCACAAAGACUAAAGUUGGAAUGAUACAGAUUAGAUUAGCAUGGUCCCCACAUGAAGAUGACAUGUACAUUUAUGAUAUUUAAAGAAAAAAA